UAGUGUCAAGAUUGGCAAUUGGCUUUGACGUGGCACGCAUGCGCCCUGCUUCGUCUGUCUUCAGUCCAGCCGCCAUGUUGUCCAAACAUGUCUUCACAUCUUGCUCCCACAAAAACCGAAAAUAAUCACGGUCCUUCAUGUUCGAGUUGAACAAACCAACGCCAUGAUGAAAGCCUUACGUAUGACUACUACAUGUCAAGACAAACGCCAUGAUGAAAGCCUUAAUUGACACGAAUGCCAUUCGAAUCCGACUUUAUAUUUCCUUUUUGUCUGUAACCUUCUUCUUUCUUCUGUAUGUUUUCAAAGUGAAUUAAUAAACGUUAUAAUUUA